GUAGUGGCUCAGUGGUAAAGAGCUUGCCUGGCAUGUGUGAGGCACUGGGUUCAAUUCUCAGCACCACA
rnacentral:tRNA from 1 species